ACGUUUUUGACACGUUUCCACUGUUACGUGGGGGACUUUUAUUUUGAAUGUUUCUGAAAUUCCUUGACCCGGAAGUACUUUUCUUUUAGCGUUGCUGACGAUACGCUGAUCAAUACAGUCAACGCUCUAGGUAGCCAACUUGAACAAUAACAUCUGCAAAAAGCACCAACUUGAAUGCAUGCAGCCUCUGGAAAGCGCUAGAGUCCAUCGUGUGGUUAAUGUAAGACGUCAUGAGGACGCAGCCCCUUCCAUCUCCAUUCUACAAGUAUAUGAUGACAAGCCACCGAAGGGUGGCGCUGUAGUCAAAGAAAUGUUGAGAGGCCCCUGAGUAAACUGUAAAACUAUUGCUGUCUCCCUAUUGAAAAAAUGUAAUUUAAAAAUGUAUGACUUUAAAAAGGAAACAAAUAGUAGCAUGAUCUAUUCUCUGUUCAUCAGAGUCUGUCUGCCUUACUAAUUAUUAUGUAUUAUUCAUAGAAAUAUGUUUUACUUGUCUGAUUCACUUCCUUUAAUUAAACCAUUAAACUAAAAUCAUGUACUACCAGAUAGCAAUU